rnacentral:rRNA from 1 species
GGGUUGUGAGGUUAAGCGAAUAAGCGUACACGGUGGAUGCCUAGGCAGUCAGAGGCGAUGAAGGACGUGCUAAUCUGCGAUAAGCGCCGGUAAGGUGAUAUGAACCGUUAUAACCGGCGAUUUCCGAAUGGGGAAACCCAGUGUGAUCCGUCACACUAUCAUUAYCUGAAUACAUAGGGUAAUGAAGCGAACCGGGAGAACUGAAACAUCUAAGUACCCCGAGGAAAAGAAAUCAAACGAGAUUCCCCCAGUAGCGGCGAGCGAACGGGGAGCAGCCCAGRACCUUAAUCARYRUCAGUGUUAAGAGAACAGUCUGGAAAGGCUGGCCGCAGCAGGUGAUAGCCCUGUAUCUGAAAGCACUGGURUUGUGAGUYCGAUGAGUAAGGCGGGACACGUGUUAUCCUGUCUGAAUAUGGGGGGACCAUCCUCCAAGGCUAAAUACUCCUGACUGACCGAUAGUGAACCAGUACCGUGAGGGAAAGGCGAAAAGAACCCCG